GCCCAUCCACGCUCAGCUGCCUCGUGGCCUCUGAUGCGGACACUGGCCCUCCGAGCCGCGAGGCGCGGUGGGCCCAAGAGCGCGGCCGUCGUGUGUGGCCGGGAGCGGCGAGUGGUGGGCUACUGCGCACGUCGCCCCGAGCCCCAUGCCGACGCAGGGCCUUGUUUGACCCCAUAACGAGGAGUGCGCCGUCGCGGCUUCCCGCCGCGCGGCGUCUUCGGACC
rnacentral:misc_RNA from 1 species